GUGGGGAAUAUUGCGCAAUGGAGGAAACUCUGACGCAGCGACGCCGCGUGGGUGAUGAAGGCCUUCGGGUUGUAAAGCCCUGUCGGCUGGGAAAAAGGUAGUCGUGCUAACACCACGAUUGCUUGAUGGUACCAGCAAAGGAAGCACCGGCUAACUCUGUGCCAGCAGCCGCGGUAAUACAGAGGGUGCAAGCGUUGUUCGGAAUUACUGGGCGUAAAGGGCGCGUAGGCGGUUUGGUAAGUCAGAUGUGAAAUCCCGGGGCUUAACUCCGGAAGUGCAUUUGAAACUACCAGGCUAGAGUGUGGUAGAGGAUGGCGGAAUUCCCAGUGGAGAGGUGAAAUUCGUAGAUAUUGGGAGGAACACCGGUGGCGAAGGCGGCCAUCUGGGCCAUAACUGACGCUGAGGCGCGAGAGCGUGGGUAGCAAACAGGAUUAGAUACCCGUGUAGUCC
rnacentral:rRNA from 1 species